UCCUGCGCCUUUACAGCGUGGUCCUCACGCUCUCCCCGCGCCCUCACGCUGGUGCUUGCUCCAGCUUAAAGAGCGAAACCACUGUUUGCCUGUUUCCCCCACCAGCUCCCACCUGCUCUUUCUACUUCUAUUGCAUUUGGAGAUGGCUUCAACAAGAAAAUAUAUCAGAGUAUAAUUGACCAAGAUUGAGGUGACUCCAAGAUAACUUUGAUGCUGCUUUGAUCCAGUUUUAAAAGUAAAUUACUUGCAAAUAUCAAUAUUUUAACCAUCAUUAGCAACUUAGUACUAGCAUCCUGUCUCACAAGGGACCAGGCCCCUCGCUGCAGUUGAAACUGCAAUUAACGCUUGCAAGCUACAUGCAAGCGUGGUCCGUCAGGCGGGGACCGUGGCACCUUCGAGAGUGUGUGUCUGCCUGCCGGGAGCAGGCCACUGACGUCCGGUCCAUUGCUGUCAUCAACUACCCAGACAUGACCCCCCUUCUGAGUUUAGCUGAGUUUCAAGAGAAGCUGGAGAUCCAGAUUUUAAGGGAAUCUUUCUUAUUUUUAAAUAUUGAAGACUAAUUAAAAAUCUUCAGAAAUGCUGUGCAGUGCAAACCAAAUACAACCAUAAGUUGAAUUUGGCCUAUGGGCAGACACCCUGCCAACUCUGCCCUCAUGCCGCCGGGCCUGUGUGUUCCCGGGACACGCUCUGUGUGUCUACCUGAGGUCUCACCCCGCUUCCAGGUCAGUGUUUCAGUGCCAGGCCCUCACCUCCAGCGUCUUCCUUGCCAUCUGGGGCGGCGGGGAGAGGACCGGGGUCUGCAUGGCCUGGAGGUAGAGAGAGGGGAAGAGAAAGCAAAGUUGGUGCUUUUCACAAUCAACAUCCUGCGGGGUCACUUGCCUGGUGAAGAAUGUGGCAGAAGAUUCACUGUGACAUUUCCAGAGCACCGAGAAACAAACUCAUGCUCAGCUCGCUCAGCUAAUUCUGUGAGCUUUGGGAUGUCUUGUCAUGGGGGUGCAGGCUCCUGGCGGCAACAGUGUCAGCAUGACAGGCUUUCCAGGUGGGACGCCAGCUAGACGCACGCAGCACCACUAAUUGCUGACGAAGUGUUUCUGCGCGGAGGCCCCAGAGGACCGUUUCGGAAGCUCUGAAACCCGUUGAACUGAAAAAACACCAAACAAACAGAAGAGGCCACGCAGCAACUCAGCAUGUGCCAGAUCCUCCCUUCCAGCACCUGCCUGACCACAGUCCAAGAAGUCAGGCAUGUCCAGUCUUUUCUUGAGCCUUGAAGAGCCUUAAGCAGGGGUGUAAGUCCCCACUCCCCGAGUUCCUGCCAGACCAGAUUCCAAGGACUUUGUUAGGACAGACUCACAGAGCAGAGGGAAAAAAAAAAUGGAAAAUCAACUUACAGAAUUAACCCUUUAUUUACCCUUUAUAAUUCCCUAUAAAAGCCCCAACCUCUUCAGCUCAGGUCUGGCAUCCCCCUCUUCUUCCUUUUGGGUGCCGCACCUUCUUUUUUUCCUCUCUCUCCCCAUC